UACGUAGGCAGCGAGCGUUGUUCGGAGUUACUGGGCGUAAAGCGUACGUAGGCGGUUUUGUAAGUUUGGUGUGAAAUCUCCCGGCUCAACUGGGAGGGUGCGCCGAAAACUGCAAGGCUGGAGUGUGGGAGAGGUAGGCGGAAUUCCUGGUGUAGCGGUGAAAUGCGUAGAUAUCAGGAGGAACACCUGUGGUGUAGACGGCUUACUGGACCAUGACUGACGCUGAGGCACGAAAGCGUGGGGAGCAAACAGG
rnacentral:rRNA from 1 species